GGCGACAUGGCCGAGUGGUAAGGCAGAGGACUGCAAAUCUUUUUUUUCCUAGUUCAAAUUUGGGCGUCGCCU
rnacentral:tRNA from 1 species